AUUGAACGCUGGCGGCAGGCUUAACACAUGCAAGUCGAGCGGGGGAAGGUAGCUUGCUACCGGACCUAGCGGCGGACGGGUGAGUAAUGCUUAGGAAUCUGCCUAUUAGUGGGGGACAACAUCUCGAAAGGGAUGCUAAUACCGCAUACGUCCUACGGGAGAAAGCAGGGGAUCUUCGGACCUUGCGCUAAUAGAUGAGCCUAGGUCGGAUUAGAUAGUUGGUGGGGUAAAGGCCUACCAAGGCGACGAUCUGUAGCGGGUCUGAGAGGAUGAUCCGCCACACUGGGACUGAGACACGGCCCAGCCUCCUACGGGAGGCAGCAGUGGGGAAUAUUGGACAAUGGGGGGAACCCUGAUCCAGCCAUGCCGCGUGUGUGAAGAAGGCCUUAUGGUUGUAAAGCACUUUAAGCGAGGAGGAGGCUACUCCAGUUAAUACCUAGGGAUAGUGGACGUUACUCGCAGAAUAAGCACCGGCUAACUCUGUGCCAGCCGCCGCCGUAAUAC
rnacentral:rRNA from 1 species